rnacentral:rRNA from 1 species
GACAGAGGAUGCAAGCGUUAUCCGGAAUGAUUGGGCGUAAAGCGUCUGUAGGUGGCUUUUUAAGUCCGCCGUCAAAUCCCAGGGCUCAACCCUGGACAGGCGGUGGAAACUACCAAGCUGGAGUACGGUAGGGGCAGAGGGAAUUCCUGGUGUAGCGGUGAAAAUGCGCAGAUAUCAGGAGGAACACCGGUGGCGAAGGCGGGUCUCUGGGCCGUAACUGACGCUGAGGAGCGAAAGCGUGGGGAGCGAACAGG